GGAGAGAUGGCUGAGCUGGUCUAAGGCGCACGAUUGGAAAUCGUGUUCAGGUUAAUAACCUGACAAGGGUUCGAAUCCCUUUCUCUCCGCCA
rnacentral:tRNA from 1 species